rnacentral:rRNA from 1 species
ACCCGCUGAACUUAAGCAUAUCAAUAAGCGGAGGAAAAGAAACCAACAGGGAUUGCCUUAGUAACGGCGAGUGAAGCGGCAAAAGCUCAAAUUUGAAAUCGGCCACCAGGUCGAGUUGUAAUUUGUAGAUUGUAUCUUGAGAGCGGAUUAAAGUCUGUUGGAACACAGCGCCUUAGAGGGUGACAGCCCCGUAAAAUCUAUUCUCAUUGUAAGAUACUUUCGAAGAGUCGAGUUGUUUGGGAAUGCAGCUCUAAGUGGGAGGUAAAUUCCUUCUAAAGCUAAAUAUUGACGAGAGACCGAUAGCGAACAAGUACUGUGAAGGAAAGAUAAAAAGCACUUUGAAAAGAGAGUGAAAAAGUACGUGAAAUUGUUAAAAGGGAAGGGUAUUGAAUCAGACUUGGUGCUGUUGUUCAACUGUGUUUCGGCAUAGUGUACUCAGCAGUACUAGGCCAAGGUGGGGUGUUUGGGAGUGAAAAAGAAGUUGGAACGUAACUCUUCGGAGUGUUAUAGCCUACUUUCAUAGCUCCUCAGGCGCCUCAGGACUGCGCUUCGGCAAGGACCUUGGCAUAAUGAUUCUAUACCGCCCGUCUUGAAACACGGACCAAGGAG